rnacentral:rRNA from 1 species
AUACGAAGGGGGCUAGCGUUGUUCGGAAUUACUGGGCGUAAAGCGCGCGUAGGCGGACUGGUCAGUCAGGGGUGAAAUCCCGGGGCUUAACCUCGGAACUGCCUUUGAUACUGCCAGUCUCGAGUCCGGAAGAGGUGAGUGGAAUUCCUAGUGUAGAGGUGAAAUUCGUAGAUAUUAGGAAGAACACCGGUGGCGAAGGCGGCUCACUGGUCCGGUACUGACGCUGAGGCGCGAAAGCGUGGGGAGCAAACAGGAUGAGAUACCCUGGUAGUCCACGCCGUAAACGAUGGAUGCUAGCCGUUGGAUAGCAUGCUAUUCAGUGGCGCAGCUAACGCAUUAAGCAUCCCGCCUGGGGAGUACGGCCGCAAGGUUAAA